rnacentral:rRNA from 1 species
UACGGAGGAGGCAAGCGUUAUCCGGAAUUAUUGGGCGUAAAGCGUCCGUAGGUGGCUCUUCAAGUCUGCUGUCAAAGACUGGGGCUUAACCCUGGAAAGGCCGUGGAAACUGAAGAACUAGAGUGCAGUAGGGGUAGAGGGAAUUCCCGGUGUAGCGGUGAAAUGCGUAGAGCUCGGGAAGAACAUCGGUGGCGAAAGCGCUCUGCUGGACUGCAACUGACACUCAGGGACGAAAGCUAGGGGAGCGAAUGGG